GAGGGAAAGGUGAAAAGCACCCCGGAAGGGGAGUGAAACAGUUCCUGAAACCGUGUGCCUACAAGUAGUUAGAGCCCGUUAAUGGGUGAUAGCGUGCCUUUUGUAGAAUGAACCGGCGAGUUACGAUUUGUUGCAAGGUUAAGCGGAAAAAGCGGAGCCGUAGCGAAAGCGAGUCUGAAUAGGGCGCAUAAGUAACAGGUCGUAGACCCGAAACCAGGUGAUCUACCCAUGUCCAGGAUGAAGGUAAGGUAAUACUUACUGGAGGUCCGAACCCACGCACGUUGAAAAGUGCGGGGAUGAGGUGUGGGUAGCGGAGAAAUUCCAAUCGAACUUGGAGAUAGCUGGUUCUCUCCGAAAUAGCUUUAGGGCUAGCCUCGAGGUAAAGAGUCAUGGAGGUAGAGCACUGUUUGGACUAGGGGCCCUUCUCGGGUUACCGAAUUCAGAUAAACUCCGAAUGCCAUGUACUUAUACUCGGGAGUCAGACUGCGAGUGAUAAGAUCCGUAGUCGAAAGGGAAACAGCCCAGACCACCAGUUAAGGUCCCCAAAUAUAUGUUAAGUGGAAAAGGAUGUGGGGUUGCUUAGACAACCAGGAUGUUGGCUUAGAAGCAGCCACCAUUGAAAGAGUGCGUAAUAGCUCACUGGUCGAGUGACCCCGCGCCGAAAAUGUACCGGGGCUAAACAUAUUACCGAAACUGUGGAUGAACCUCU
rnacentral:rRNA from 1 species